CAUCCAUCCAUCCAACAAGAUAUCGGUUAACUUUUUGAAGAACAGAAGAGAUUCUUAUUUUUGCUGCGUUACACUAAAUUUGCAAACGUUUUGAUGUUAAGCUGUGCUAAUUCCUCUUAGCAGUUAUACACGUACUACCCAGAUAAAUAGCCUUAAACAUUUUCUUUGACCGCCUAAGAUUUCUGCACAGUACUGUAGCUGUGGUCAAUCACCAAACGUCACUUUUUAAUACCAGCAUAUCACUUUUGUACUUAGAAUUUACCAACACCAGGGAAACAAAAAAUAUGAUGUUUUCAUCAAUAACGAUUUUGACUAAAAGUAAAUGUGAAAAUGCAUGUCUGUAGAUACUAGGAGCAUCGCUCACAGCUGCGUUCACGGAGCAAAAAUUCCCAAGGCGAAGCGUUUCAUAAACAUCACACACCACACCGAUCGCUCAGUAUGAUCUCAUAAUAUGAAUCCAUGAAGGGGAAGUUACAAGCACACCUGAUGCAAUUAACCCCGGGCUUAAUGAAGAGGACGGCCUGGGCAGGCAGAACAGAACAGACAUACCUUUCCCAAGAAGAGCAGAGGAAAACCCAGACUUUCAUCUUGCAUGCCGUCUGCGAGCGUUCCAGAAGAUCUCUUACCACGCGUCUUCCCCGAGCCAAAAAUCGCCAUGAGGCCGAGACCACAGACCCCAGGAGGUGGACAGGGGACAGAACCAGCAGCCAACAGGCGCACAGGUUCUGCUACGUUUUUUUAAAAUAUAGCUCUGGAUGUUUUUUUGACUCUGAAUGGUCCUGUUUUGUUUUAAUUUACUGGGACACAACAGCCUUUUGUUCGGAGCGUACGUGUAAAUAUUCGCAAUGACACAUAAAUCAACAGCGGCUCGAGCAGCCUG